rnacentral:snoRNA from 1 species
UAAGACAGGUAAUAAUAACUUGGUUGGACUAGAGUCUCCGAACUUUUCUCUGAGGACCUUUGAAACCACCUGAUCCACUCA